AAACGGGGGCAAAUGUAUUCACUGGAUGAGUUGGAAACAUCUGUGCAGUCAUAAGGACAUGGGUGGGCUUGGUCUUAGAAGAAUUCAUGAGUUUAAUCUCGCUUUGCUCGGUAAACAGCUUUGGCAUCUGCUCAUCUCUGGUCUCUCAGGUCCUUGAGGGGAAAUAUUUCCCUCAUUCAGACCUCUUUCAAGCCAAACCUGUCAACAGUCCAAGCUUUGUGUGGUGAAGCAUUAUUACAGCUCUUCCCCUUGUGGUUUCAAAUUGUCGAUGGCGAGUUGGAUCAGGAGCUUCCAUUUCAGUGUGAAGGGAUCCUUGGUUACCAGAUCAAAACAAUCCGAGGAUAACUACUAUAGGUCCCUCGCAUUUGGUAGACCUAUGGGUGAAAGACCUUAUUCAAGCUCGUUUUGAAUUUAGUCUCUUAUAGAUUCCCUGUUCUCUCCUAGGGAUGUUCUUUUGAUUCAAAAAAUUUCGCUUAGCACCCACAACCGAGAGGAUUCUUGGACAUGGUGCCAAGAGGAUUCCUGGACAUGGUGCCAAGCAGAAUGGUGCCUACUCGAUUAAGAGCGCUUGCAGAUUCCUUAAUAGGGAAAAUUAUAAUGUUUCCUCAAAUGUUGCUUUCUGGAAAUCUUUUUGGAAUCUCAAUAUCCCUCCAAUGUCAAGAAUUUGGUUUGACGAGCUUGUUCUAGCUGCAUCCCCACUAAUUUGCUUCUUAUUAGCAGGCAUAUUGAGGUUGAUAGUGUUUGCUCAGUUUUCGUGGCUGAUGUCGAGUCUCUUGAGCACGUCUUCAUGCACAGUCAAACGGCUAGAAUGUGCUGGAAGUCCAUCCCGGGUAUAGGUAGCAUUUAGGGUUCUCAAUUUUUUGAUUGGCUAGCUGCACUUUUGCAUUGUGUAAUCUCCAGGCUCGCCAACUGGCCUGUAUGAUUCUCUAGGCUUUAUGGAAGAGCAGGAAUGACUCCCUUUGGAGCAACUCCAGUGGCAAUGCUUCGCAAGUUUUGAGCCUAGCCUCAUCUUCUCUAGCUCAUUGGCAAUCGGCAAGAGCUCCCCAACUCAACCCUCUUAUCUCCUUGCCAAACUAUGCUCCUCCCAUUGACAAAGAGCAGUGGACUAAUCUCCUGCUAGGUUUUCUCAAAUGUAAUUUUGAUGCUUUUCCAAGACAGCAUAACAAUCAUAUUGGCAUUGGUUGGGUUUUGCGCAACGAUCUGGGCAACCUUAUUCUUGCCUGUCAUAGGGAGAUGGUGGGUCCCCUUGAUCCCAAAGUGGGGGAGGCUCUUUCUUUCUGUGAAUCCCUCAGUUGGACUAAAGACAAAGGCCUAAACAAAGUUAUUUUUAAAUCAGAUUCUCAGCUCCUUGUUUUAGCUGUCACUAGUAAUAGUCAGGAUAGUUCUUAUUUUGGUAUUGUUACUAAUGAUUGUAAAACUAUUCUCUCAGAGCUUGUCCAAUGUUCAGUUUAUUUUGUCCGCAGAACAGCCAAUUCAGUGGCUCAUUGCUUGGCGCAUUCAGCGCCUCCUCUCUUGGUUCUCAGGGAGUGGGGCCCUG
rnacentral:misc_RNA from 1 species